GGUUCCAAUUGCAGCUUGUGAUAAUAGGUGUUUUGUUUUGUGACUUGAGGAAUUGCCCCGUAUAAUGCUACCGGGGUGUCAGGUAGAUGUCCCUUGCGAGCCACUUCACAUGUUUCCACAUUGAAAGGCAAGGAGACCACCUGUUUUGGAUAUGAAUUAAAUUACGCUUAAAACUGACAAAUUCAGUUUCAAGGGACGAUGUGAUUGUAGUUGAUUAACAAUGCACUUGUUAGAGCUAUGCUACUCAACAAACUGGUUUGAAUAGCCUACAACAUUUGCAAAUUGUUGAGAUAAACUUUAAUGUUUAAAAUGCAAGAAAACAACUGUAACAGAAUGUUCUCAUAUCCCCAAAAUUAAUGUUAGAGUUGUAGCCAUAUCUAAAAGCAUUCCAACAGCCACAGCAUUGACAUGGUGGGGUGGGGGGGUCUAGGGGAGAAUAUUUUAACUUUCUUGGUGAAUAAUCAUGUUUUUUAGACACUAUUUUUGUACGGGACGUUUCUGUAGGUAAUUUUUCUAUAGUGUAAACGCAACCAUUAAGUUUUGCGUAAUUAGUCUAACCUUCGUUCCUUAUAUGUUGCUCUAAUCUAAAUUAUGACAGGCUAUCUAGGUAGCUACAGUGCCGUUGGAAUGAAAAUCAUUAUGAGGGGGGGGGGACUGUCCAUUGUUUUCCUUCUCAUUCAGUACACCGUUUUAAAGGAAACAUACUACAGUUUAACAAUUUUGGGGGGUCCAGCCCCCCAGCCGGCCAUUAUUUUGAAGGAGAAAUGAUAGAGCUACAAAUCCAACAUUGCUUCGGGGGGGGGAAGGGGGAUUCGAAUUUACAGGGGCAAGGUAAAGUAGAAAGUUGCAAAAAUUGCAUUUUGUCUCAACAUUUUUGUCCGGGAUUGUAAUUAAAAAGGACAGCAACAGAAACUUCUAGCCUCGCUCCCAAAAAAGUUGAAAGCAAAGGACUGGGACUAGCGUUCUUUGUGAAAGAGCGCCAAAUGUUAAAGUGCUAACGCCACUCGGAAGGCAUUGCUUUCUUGGUUGUAUGAGAUUUUUGUUUAGUUACACGUGGCCUGAGUUGUUACGAUGUAUUUCCACACAACAUUGCUUCAGGGCGAAGAAACUGAAAAUCUUAAGCUAUCAAUACCAUAGAUCGACACCCUAUUCUGUUCAAGCAAAUGACAACAGCAAAGGCCACAGAAGAGUUAAUCGAGAGGUAUUAGAGUCCAUAUGUUUUUCUUAUAAACAUAAUUUUUAUAAGCUUACCUUUCCUUGAUGAGAAUUCGCAUUGUGUGCAACAACAGUUAAGACUGCGUUUAACAAAAGCACACCUACAGCAAUAUAAAACAUGUUAACUGAUAGGAAGCAAAAAAAUGAAAGGAAUCUAUGCCCUUUGAGAAAAUUGUAGACUUUAUCUAUACAUGUAGGGAAUAUCUUUUGCCGACUAUUCACUCUACAGCGCACUUUCAGAUGGUAUUAUAACAUAAAAUAACAUAUUUUCCAAACCUCUCAUUUUGCUAUUAUUUAGCAGCAUAGCCAGGACCCCAAAAUUAGAGGGGCGAAAUGGAGGAGGUUAAAAAUAAAUGGUCCAGAAAUAGAUUUAGAAAUAGCUUUGAAGAAGGAAACAUUUUGAAACAUGCUAAAGCUUUUUGUCUGAUACACUUCAGAGUAUAAAACGUCAGAACGUAUAUCGAAAACUUUACCCUAGAAAACAUAUAUACCCCGUUGUGGAUCGAAAUAGGCCAAUCAGAAAUGCGAGUUCAUGACUGUUGAGGUUGCCCAAUCAGUGCCGCUUGCCUAUUGAAAAUAUAACCAAUGGAGAAACAAGGUGAAAACAAACUCCUUCUGUCUUCUACAUAACAAUGGCUUUUUAUUGUUGAUGUAGAUGAAUUCCAAAACUGCUAGAUGGAACGGCGAUCGGUCUCCACAAAUUAUCCGAAACAAAUCGCCAUUAAAGGACGCACAGAAUAAA